AACAGUGCGCCUAAAGCACUCACAUUAGUUGUUUUUGUUUUGCGUGCUUAUUGUUAAGUAUUACAGUAAAUGCCGCUUUCUCGCGUUAUUUGUAUGACUUUGUAACAAGUCAAAGACGUUUUUUGCCAGAACAGAUUGGAGAUCUACUGACUGGAGGUAACUUGGGGAUUCCACGUUUUUUGUAUUUUUUUUUUUUCCCCUCCAACUCGGCACUGGAGCCUCGGACUCUGGCAGUGGCUGAUCCAGGCUCAGGACACGAGAGGCAGAAAUACCAGCGCGCAGCAUGGGCAGGGCCGUUUCCAGGCCCUCCCGCAGGGGUAGGCCCUCCCCUCGCCUUCCCUCCCGGAUCCGGGGCUUUGAGAAAGAGGGCGGCUGAGGCCCAGAGGCAGCCCUAGGCCUGUGCCCCAAGCUCAGCCCCCGCCAAACCCCUCCUCCCGGAGCGACCCAAGGUCUAGCAUCCAGCAAGCUGGCGCGCUCCCCUGCAGCCCGCGUGGGAGGACCCGGGCUGUACACGUACUCUUUAGAUCCUGCCCCCAGCCGGGAAGCAGAACCCGGGAAAGCCGCAAGCAGCGAGCGCCCUGGGAGGUGUUGCUGGAGCAGAAUGCCGGAGAGCGCAGGAUCGGUGCCCAGGCUGGCUGCAGAGCCAGAAAAAAGCAAAGGCUAGACAACGCAGCUAGCGGAAGCCUGGCGGAUGGGAGGAGGCCAGGAAGGGAUUUGGAAGGAAGGAGGGGUGGGGACGGAGAGCUGGGAGCUCUAGAGAACUAAGGAUCCGGAGCUUGGGCGCGCAACUGGUCCCCAGAGCCCGGUCUUGGCGAUCGGGUGGGAGGGGGAGGGGGAGGGGUGCGGUGCAGGUGACGGGUGGAGUAAAUGGAUGCAAAGGCUGAAGCUAAGCAGAAAAUGGAAGGCAACCUUUCCGAGAACCAGGGCGGGUGAGGACAAUCGAGCUGGGGGAACAGUAAUGAGAGAGCUGGAGAGGCACAGAAGGAGAGAGAAAUCCUGAUUGAAGAGUGAGGCCAUGGAAGGGUAAGAAAUAUGCUUUGAACAGAAAAACGAAGAAAGCAAAAUGCGUCUGGAACUCAAAAUUCGAUAUAGGAAAAAAAAAAAUCACGCUAAAGAGAACUUGUCCCGGAAAAUGCCGAGAGAUAGGGGAAAAAAAAAAAAAAAGGCAUCGAGCACACCGCAAGAACAGAAAGUGAAAGAAGGAGAAAGGAGAGGAGACAAACCAGACAAGAAAUAUAAAGAAGACAUUGGGUUCAUUCAGACUGUAUUGUCAGAAAAGGAACCAAGGUUUGAGGACUGGAAACCUUGUCAUUUUCACCUUUAAAUCAUCUCCUGGCGUCACCUCUGCCUGACGAGACCUUUGAAGUGAUGGAUCCCAUAGAUGCCAAUGGUUAACUACAACAGAAAAACAUAAAUCCCCUUCGCCUGCUGUGGGCUUAAAUCCUAUGAACUUUUCUUGACACUCUAGAUCGACCUACUUUUCUAGAUUUGGUUCUGGUGCACUGUUCUCCAUGGAGUUUUUCUUGGCCUCCCAAGUCUAGGGUGGACACCCCUCCCCUCCACCUCUGUAAGAUUCGGUGCCAACCACAUUUGCUACAGCAUCUACUGCUCGGUACCAUAUUUGUCUGUUUUCUUUUCUUUUCUCUUCAUAUCCCUCUGGCCUCAGAGGGACUUUCCCUGACCUUAUCAUUCCCUUUUUGAAAACAUGAAAUGGUUUUCCAAUGCACAGAAUAUAAUGUGGUUUAAAAACCACUGACCAGGGCUUCCCUGGUGGAGCAGUGGUUAAGAAUCCGCCUGCCAAUGCAGGGGACACGGGUUCAAGUCCUGGUCCGGGCAGAUCCCACGUGCCACGGAGCAACUAAGCCUGUGUGCCACAACUACAGAGCCUGCGCUCUAGAGCCUGCGAGCCACAACAAUGGAAGCCUGCGCACCUAAAGCCCGUGCUCCUCAACAAGAGAAGCCACCGCAAUGAGAAGCCCAUGCACCGCAACGAAGAGCAGCCCCUGCUUGUUACAACUAGAGAAAGCCCGCGUGCAGCAAUGAAGAUCCAAUGCAGCUAAAAAUUAAAUAAUUAAUAAAAAAAAUUUUAAGUAAAUAAAAACCACAGACCACAAGACCCAACACAACCAGUGUCUGCCCAUAUUUUCAUCUAAAUAUCAUUCCAUUCCUCCCUACCUACUCCCACAUUCACCAUGCUCCAGUCACUCUGAUCUUUUCUCAGUAAUGCAUUCAGGUAUUCAUUCAUUCAGCAAGCAUUCACGCAACAAACCAAGUACAGAGAACACAACUCAAGAACUGGUUCACAAGAUAAUCAUUGCCCCAUCUCACAUACUCCAAAUACUAUCUAGAUUCAGGACCUCUGUAUAGGCUCUAAACUGUUUUAUUCAUCACUGUUUGCUCUCCAUCUGACAAUGUACCUGGCACAUAGUAGGUGCUCAAUCAGUAUUAAUAGUCUAGAUGAAUAAAUGAAUGUGUCAGUAAUGAAUAAACACAGCCAUUUCUCAUUUAUUCAUGUUUUAGGUGUUUUAUGAAUUUGCACAAUAUUCUAAGCAAGAGGUUGGCAGUGGGCUGAGCAGGGAGGAGGCUGGGAAGAAUUUCAGAUGAUGUGUCUGUACACGUAUGGGUGUUUGUGUGGGAAUCUGAGUCUGAGAACGCCUAAAUGUGCAUCUCCAACCACAGCCCAGUGCCAGAGAGAAAGGCUUUUUGCAUUGCUUCUUGUUUUUUCUCAUCCACCCUUUUGUCCCUUUCUCCUAUUAUACCAUAUUGAAAGUAGGCUUUUCCCACUCUUAGUUUCCACCCUCACGUUCAUAGUGUAAUGAUGAGCAUGUGGUAUCUCUGAGCUUAGAGAGAAUACAGCAGUUGCUAGUUUAGAGCAGAGGAAAACAAUUAUAAAAAGGAGUUCAAGGGUAAACGUUGGACAUGAUUGAAGCAGGUAGGACAAAGUACUUGAGCACACCCAUACUUGGAUUCCCUAAACCAGAGGUCCUCAGUCUUGACUGAGUUACAAUAACUUGGGGAGAUUUUAAAACUCUAAAUGCCCCGGACCCUACCUCAGAUGACUCAAAACAGGAUCUCUGGAGGUGGAACUCAGGCAACAGUGUUUCUCAAAGCUCCCUGCGUGGUUCCAAUGUGCAGCCAAGUUUGAAAACCACUGACUAAAACAAAAACUUACUGCAGUAAGUCUCUAGUCACUGUGGCAACCCCACAAAUAACUGCGAUCUCUUGUUAAUUAGUUGCCAACUAAGAGGCACAUUCUCCGUGUUUAACAGAUUGAA